AUUGAACGCUGGCGGCAGGCCUAACACAUGCAAGUCGAACGAGUGGCGGACGGGUGAGUAAUGUCUGGGAAACUGCCCGAUAGAGGGGGAUAACUACUGGAAACGGUAGCUAAUACCGCAUACUAUCGGAUGUACCCAUAUGGGAUUAGCUAGUAGGUGGGGUAAAGGCUCACCUAGGCGACGAUCCCUAGCUGGUCUGAGAGGAUGAUCAGCCACACUGGAACUGAGACACGGACCAGACUCCUACGGGAGGCAGCAGUGGGGAAUAUUGCACAAUGGGCGCAAGCCUGAUGCAGCCAUGCCGCGUGUAUGAAGAAGGCCUUCGGGUUGUAAAGUACUUUCAGCGGGGAGGCGUUACCCGCAGAAGAAGCACCGGCUAACUCCGUGCCAGCAGCCGCGGUAAUAC
rnacentral:rRNA from 1 species